rnacentral:rRNA from 1 species
CCAGCCGCCGCGGUAAUACGGAGGAUGCAAGCGUUAUCCGGAAUUAUUGGGCGUAAAGCGUCCGCAGGUGGCAAUUCAAGUCUGCUGUUAAAGGUCAGGGCUCAACCCUGAACAGGCAGUGGAAACUGAAUAGCUAGAGUGCGGUAGGGGCAGAGGGAAUUCCCAGUGUAGCGGUGAAAUGCGUAGAGAUUGGGAAGAACACCGGUGGCGAAAGCGCUCUGCUAGGCCGUAACUGACACUCAUGGACGAAAGCUAGGGGAGCGAAUGGGAUUAGAUACCCCAGUAGUCCUAGCCGUAAACGAUGGAUACUAGGCGUUGCUCGCAUCGACCCGAGCAGUGCCGUAGCUAACGCGUUAAGUAUCCCGCCUGGGGAGUACGCGCGCAAGCGUGAAACUCAAAGGAAUUGACGGGGGCCCGCACAAGCGGUGGAGUAUGUGGUUUAAUUCGAUGCAACGCGAAGAACCUUACCAGGACUUGACAUGUCGCGAAUCUUUGGGAAACUAAAGAGUGCCUUCGGGAGCGCGAACACAGGUGGUACAUGGCUGUCGUCAGCUCGUGUCGUGAGAUGUUGGGUUAAGUCCCGCAACGAGCGCAACCCUCGUUCUUAGUUGCCAGCAUUAAGUUGGGCACUCUAGGGAGACUGCCGGUGAUAAACCGGAGGAAGGUGGGGAUGACGUCAAGUCAGCAUGCCCCUUACGUCCUGGGCUACACACGUACUACAAUGCUACGGACAAAGGGUCGCAAGCAUGCGAAUGCAAGCAAAUCCCAUAAACCGUGGCUCAGUUCAGAUUGCAGGCUGCAACUCGCCUGCAUGAAGGCGGAAUCGCUAGUAAUCCCAGAUCAGCACGCUGGGGUGAAUACGUUCCCGGGCCUUGUACACACCGCCCGUCACACCAUGGAAGUUGGCCACGCCCGAAGUCGUUACCCUAACCGCAAGGAGGGGGAUGCCGAAGGCAGGGCUGAUGACUGGGGUGAAGUCGUAACAAGGUAACCAA